rnacentral:tRNA from 1 species
GGAGGGAUGGCUGAGUGGUUGAAAGCAACGGUCUUGAAAACCGUCAAGGAGGCAACUCCUUCCAGGGUUCGAAUCCCUGUCCCUCCG